GUGCUGGCUUCGGCAGCACAUAUACUAAAACUGGAAUGAUAGAGAUUAGCAUGGCCCCUGCGCAAGGAUGACAUGCAAAUUCAAAUUUGUGAAGCAUUCCAUAUUUUU
ensembl:snRNA U6 U6 spliceosomal RNA